AGAUUUUUAGUUUAAAUGUGAAUAUUUCUUUUACAUAGGAAAGGUUAGAAAAUCUU
rnacentral:tRNA from 1 species